rnacentral:rRNA from 1 species
AGUGAACGCUGGCGGUAGGCCUAACACAUGCAAGUCGAACGGCAGCACAGUAAGAGCUUGCUCUUACGGGUGGCGAGUGGCGGACGGGUGAGGAAUACAUCGGAAUCUACUUUUUCGUGGGGGAUAACGUAGGGAAACUUACGCUAAUACCGCAUACGACCUACGGGUGAAAGCAGGGGAUCUUCGGACCUUGCGCGAUUGAAUGAGCCGAUGUCGGAUUAGCUAGUUGGCGGGGUAAAGGCCCACCAAGGCGACGAUCCGUAGCUGGUCUGGGAGGAUGAUCAGCCACACUGGAACUGAGACACGGUCCAGACUCCUACGGGAGGCAGCAGUGGGGAAUAUUGGACAAUGGGCGCAAGCCUGAUCCAGCCAUACCGCGUGGGUGAAGAAGGCCUUCGGGUUGUAAAGCCCUUUUGUUGGGAAAGAAAAGCAGCAGGUUAAUACCCCGCUGUUCUGACGGUACCCAAAGAAUAAGCACCGGCUGACUUCGUG